rnacentral:rRNA from 1 species
GGAUCCCUACGGGGGGCAGCAGUGGGGAAUAUUGCACAAUGGGGGGAACCCUGGUGCAGCGACGCCGCGUGGGUGAAGGAGUAUUUCGGUAUGUAAAGCCCUAUCAGCAGGGAAGAACAAUGACGGUACCUGACUAAGAAGCACCGGCUAAAUACGUGCCAGCAGCCGCGGUAAUACGGAGGAUCCGAGCGUUAUCCGGAUUUAUUGGGUUUAAAGGGUGCGCAGGCGGAGGCACAAGUCAGCGGUAAAAUCGCGGGGCUCAACCCCGCUCCGCCGUUGAAACUGUGUCCCUUGAGUGCGCGAAG